rnacentral:rRNA from 1 species
GACGUACCACCCAAACGUUAUCCGGAUUUAUUGGGUUUAAAGGGUGCGUAGGUGGAUUAAUAAGUCAGUGGUGAAAGCCCGGAGCUCAACUCUGGAACUGCCAUUGAUACUGAUAGUCUUGAGUACAGUUGAGGUGGGCGGAAUGUGUCAUGUAGCGGUGAAAUGCUUAGAUAUGACACAGAACACCGAUUGCGAAGGCAGCUCACUAAGCUGUAACUGACACUGAGGCACGAAAGUGUGGGUAGCAAACAGG